rnacentral:lncRNA from 1 species
CUGAGUUUGGCGCCAGAAGAAAGUCUAUCAGUUUUGAAUUGCAAAAGCCCCCAAAGUUUCAACAUGAGGAAGCCGAGAGCGUGACAGAGGUGACUGAGGAAAGGCUGGAUGAGUUGGUGCACAUUUGCCUGAGAGAGACAGAAACCAUCUCCCUGUUGGACAUCCCUCACGUGUGCUGCCCCACGACACCGAGGGCGCUGAGGAGCUGAAAGAGAGUAAUCGGCGUUACAUUGAGUUGUGUAAAGGCAAACCCGGAAAUGAAAAAUAUGUGGAGCGAGAGAUGCAGACUUUGGACAACGCCCCCAAAACUACAGGCACUCAGACAGACCCACUGGUCACUGCAGAUACAGACUCAGUGGCAACAGGCUGGGACAUCUAUGACUCCAUGAAUGAGUCGACUAACUCCACGGCUGUGCUGGAAAUGAGA